UACUAGCCCCGAUUGCAGCGACAUCCUUUUUCUGAAUUGCCCUAAACCAGGCGAAAAAGAUAUAGCGGAAAGCGGGAAUAAGC
rnacentral:sRNA from 1 species